GUGGCAGCAGCCGCGGUAAUACGGAGGGGGCUAGCGUUGUUCGGAAUUACUGGGCGUAAAGGGUGCGCAGGCGGUUUUGUAAGACAGGUGUGAAAUCCCCGGGCUUAACCUGGGAACUGCGCUUGUGACUGCAAGACUUGAGUGCGGCAGAGGGGGGUGGAAUUCCACGUGUAGCAGUGAAAUGCGUAGAGAUGCGGAGGAACACCGAUGGCGAAGGCAAUCCCCUGGGCCUGCACUGACGCUCAUGCACGAAAGCGUGGGGAGCAAACAGGAUUAGAUACCCUGGUAGUCCACGCCCUAA
rnacentral:rRNA from 1 species